AUCGCUUCUCAGCCUUUGGCUAAGAUCAAGUGUAGUAUUUGUUCGUAUCAGUUUAAUAUCUGGUACAUCCUUUAUCUGAGUACAUUAUCUUAAGUGGAUAUUUGGAGCUGGAGAUGGAAUAGGAUCUUGCUCGACUACUCCACGCAUCGACCUGGUUUUGCAGUACUUCCAGGAACGGUACAGACAUG